rnacentral:rRNA from 1 species
GAUGAACGCUGGCGGCGUGCCUAAUACAUGCAAGUCGAGCGAACAGACGAGGAGCUUGCUCCUCUGACGUUAACGGCGGACGGGUGAGUAACACGUGGAUAACCUACCUAUAAGACUGGGAUAACUUCGGGAAACCGGAGCUAAUACCGGAUAAUAUAUUGAACAGCAUGGUUCAAUAGUGAAAGACGGUUUUGCUGUCACUUAUAGAUGGAUCCGCGCCGCAUUAGCUAGUUGGUAAGGUAACGGCUUACCAAGGCAACGAUGCGUAGCCGACCUGAGAGGGUGAUCGGCCAGACUGGAACUGAGACACGGUCCAGACUCCGACGGGAGGCAGCAGUAGGGAAUCUUCCGCAAUGGGCGAAAGCCUGACGGAGCAACGCCGCGUGAGUGAUGAAGGUCUUCGGAUCGUAAAACUCUGUUAUUAGGGAAGAACAAAUGUGUAAGUAACUAUGCACGUCUUGACGGUACCUAAUCAGAAAGCCACGGCUAACUACGUG